AGAGUUUGAUCCUGGCUCAGGAUAAACGCUGGCGGCGCACAUAAGACAUGCAAGUCGAACGGACUUAAUCGAUUCUUUUAGAUUCGAAGCGGUUAGUGGCGGACUGGUGAGUAACACGUAAGCAACCUGCCUAUUAGAGGGGAAUAACAGUGAGAAAUCACUGCUAAAACCGCAUAUGCCGUGAACAUCGCAUGAUGAAAACGGGAAAAGAGCAAUCUGCUAAUAGAUGGGCUUGCGUCUGAUUAGCUAGUUGGUGUGGUAAAGGCAUACCAAGGCAACGAUCAGUAGCCGG
rnacentral:rRNA from 1 species